GCAGUGGUGGUUCAGUGGUAGAAUUCUUGCCUUCCAUGGGGAAGACUCAGGUUCAAUUCUCGGCCAAUGCA
rnacentral:tRNA from 1 species